AUGAACUGGGGUCCUGGCUUGAGGCAAUAUCACGAUGCUCUCAUCGGGUACACAGAUGGAACGUUCUCAGUCAAGGAGACCCCCGUCCCUCCAGACAACCUCUUUGGACCAGGUGGCAGGUACAGGCCUCAGGGAGCGAAAGGAACUCUGGGAAAUUUGGGCCAGCUGGUGUACAAUUUGACCGGACAAGGGCAUUCCAGCACAGAUCCAGGUAGUGGGUGCCGGGCGUGGUGGAUGAAGGAGCCUUCGCCGCUUGAGUGGAUGGUGGGCGUGUCUUCCUGCCCAUGCACCCUCAACCAGGCUGUGGAGGACCUGUCCUUCAUUCAGGACACAACGGAUCCAGGUCCAACAGUCCAGAAGUUGAGGGAUCAACAGUGGGGAGGAGCUAAAGUAUACAUCUUUAAGUCCAUCCUGUCCAACAAAUACGGAGCAGGGAAGACGUGUGCAUACGAAACAGAAGGCGCUCUGCUGGCUGGGAUCCCCGGGCGCUACUUUGAUGCAAUCAGCGUACAGAAACACAUCGGUAAAGACAGCUCAUGCUUCGUUUUGUCCUACCAUAAAAAUGCGUUUCACAGUGACAGUAAUUCACCAAACCUCUCUCUACAGACGAGGACCUUCUUCCAUUUCAGUGGUGCUGUGUUGAGUCUCCUCUGUGUUGGCUUUACCACCAGAAGAGACCAAAGGAUAACUGUCAGGAUUCUAGUUCAGGUGGCUUCAGCAGCACCGUUGCUCCUCUGCUUUCCAGGAAGGGAGUUCAGGGAACUGCGAUGGUGUACGGGAGCUUACAUUUCAUCACCUUCGAUGGAACCAAGUACUCAUUUCAGGCUCUGGGAGAGUUCGUGUUGUUGCGUCUGUCCUCUGCCAGCGGCUCGAAUAUCUUCACCCUACAAGGGCUGCUGGGAAAGCUGCUGACGGCAUCAAAAGAGGUCAUCGACGUCCCGGUGGUGGUGCGCAUGGCUGCCUUCCACCAAGGCACUGGCAAGGUCGGGAUGAGUGUGAGCUGAGCAAACAGUGGCGCUUCAGGAAUGUGAUCCCAAUCACGCUGAAAGAUUUUUAUGUGUUUAACACACCGUGCAGGACUCUCGACGGGGACGGAGAGUCUGAGCUUCGUUCCUGCAGCACCAGAUUCAAUCAUCUCAGAUGACACAAACUUUAAUCUCUAAUUUCCACGUUCCGUUUUCAGAUUGAAUGGAGGUGUUCUUCUGACACAAACGGUGCUCUUCGGAUGUUUGUGGAUGAUGUUGAAGUCCCAGUGAAAAUUGGUAAUCACACACAUUUACGAACCCUUUUUAUCCUUUGUCUUGAACUUUGAUACCAAAAGUUGCUUAACGAUGGGAGCUUGAGGAAACAUUCAGGUCAGAACGGGAGUUUAGGAUCUUUUAUAAACAAAAAUCAUCUGUUCUGUGACUGAUUCAGGUGUCGUGUACACGAGCGAGAAGAACUUUGUUGUACGCUGCAUCUCAGUAAGUCGCUGUGCGGCCGUCUAUGCCAGCGGUCUCCAUGUGGUCACGUGGCUAAACGUGGACUACUGUCAGAUGGGCGCCAUGGUGGAGGUCUCUCAGAACUUCUACAAUCGUACCGUGGGCCUCAUGGGCUUCUGGAGCUCCAACCGCAUUGAUGAUUUCCUCCUGUCAGACGGCAGGGUCUUCCCCUCGCAGGACCUCAACCCCCCCACGGAGGAGAAGCUGCAGGACUUUGGCCUAUCCUGUGAGUGGCGCUAACACACACCUGAACUUGAAUUAGAGCAUCAUUAGAUGGUAUUUUAUACAGAUUAGAUGGAAAAGCACAGUGGAUCUGAGCUACCUAGAGUCCUAGCUCCUCCUCCUGUUGGGUAGUUUACUACGGUUUGCCGUGAUGGAGUUACCUUAGCUCUUUUGGAUCCAAUCACCCCAUUAGCGCAAAAUGUUAGAUUGAAUUUUCUUCAGACAUUUAGGCUCAUCAAUUGAAUUUGCUACUUGUCUGUUUUUUGUCUGUUUUAGUAGAUUAUCCAUUUUUUCUGAUGUAUCGUCUCUACCUGUGUCUGAUAUCUGUGUGGACUGACAGGGUCAGUCCCAGUGCCCGAAAGCCUGCUGUUGUCAUCGCCUCCAAAGGCUCCACAGGCUCUGACCACCACCAAGGCCACAUUGGAGAGGUUUAGCCCUGCUGUGGUGGCGGAGCAGAUGAAGGCCUGUAAAGACAGUGUGCAGUGUGUGUAUGACUCUCUAGCAUCUGGGAUCGCAGACCUGGGCCAGCAAACUCUGGAUGCUGAGGCACAGUUCCAGACCCUGGCUCAGAUUUACG
rnacentral:lncRNA from 1 species